rnacentral:rRNA from 1 species
GAUGAACGCUAGCUACAGGCUUAACACAUGCAAGUCGAGGGGAAACGACAUCGAAAGCUUGCUUUUGAUGGGCGUCGACCGGCGCACGGGUGAGUAACGCGUAUCCAACCUGCCCAUCACUUGGGAAUAACCUUGCGAAAGUAAGACUAAUACCCAAUGAUAUCCCACGAAGGCAUCGGAAUGGGAUUAAAGAUUUAUCGGUGAUGGAUGGGGAUGCGUCUGAUUAGCUUGUUGGCGGGGUAACGGCCCACCAAGGCAACGAUCAGUAGGGGUUCUGAGAGGAAGGUCCCCCACAUUGGAACUGAGGCACGGUCCAAACUCCUACGGGAGGCAGCAGUGAGGAAUAUUGGUCAAUGGGCGAGAGCCUGAACCAGCCAAGUAGCGUGCAGGAAGACGGCCCUAUGGGUGGUAAACUGCUUUUAUAAGGGAAUAAAGUGGGUCACGUGUGACUUUUUGCAUGUACCUUAUGAAUAAGGACCGGCUAAUUCCGUG